GGAGAGGUGCCCGAGCUGGCCGAAGGGGCACGAUUGGAAAUCGUGUGUACCCCUAAAAAGGGUACCGUGGGUUCGAAUCCCACCCUCUCCG
rnacentral:tRNA from 1 species